GAAGGCAGGGAUCCUAUAUCAUUUGUAUCAUUUGUAUGUACUUCCUAGCAGAGUGCCCAGCACAGAGUGAGUGUUUAAUUGGGGGCUGUGGUGCUCUAGUUGCACAAAGAAGUCAAUAUGAUUCCAAACCUGACCAUGUACAAGCUCACAGGAAACUGCCACUCUUUAAAGAAGUUAUAUGACCUAAGACAGGGCAACUGAACUGGGCUAAGAACUGGAAGCAGUACCUUGAAUACAAAAACAACUUUGUAGAUCAGGAAAAAUAAAAGCAUGCCAUGAAAACUUACAAUGGCACUAAAGAUCUAGGUAAUUGCAUUAGUGCUGGCUUCCCAAUGCACAGGAAUUUCCGGACCUAUUUUGCUGCCUGCUGCUUUCAGGGAGGAGGGGCAGUCUGCUCAGAAUUCUAACACCCAGCCUGCUGACUGGGCAGAUGUUCCCAGAAGUGUUAGAAGAAGAAUGUGCUGGCCAGAAAUAUCCCUUGAAUCUAUGAGGGAGAAAUUCAUAAAACUGUAUGGAUCAUGAUCUUCUACAAACAUUUCACUGCCUUUUUUUCUCUCACACCCAGAC